GACAGAAGGUGCAAGCGUUACUCGGAAUUACUGGGCGUAAAGCGUCCGCAGGUGACUGGGGUAGUCUGGUGUUAAAGCACGAAGCUUAACUUCGUGUCCGUGCCGGAAACUCCCCGGAUUGAGUCAUACAGAGGCAUCUGGAAUGCUGUGUGUAGGGGUAAAAUCCGUUGAUCCACAGUAGAACGCCGAAAGCGAAGGCAGGAUGCUGGGUAUGUACUGACACUCAGGGACGAAAGCGUGGGGAGCAAACCGG
rnacentral:rRNA from 1 species